rnacentral:lncRNA from 1 species
UUGAUGCUUCACCUAAAAAAUGAGCAUAUGUCUAAUUGAAUUAAUAAUAAAUUUCAUACCCACCAUGAAAAAAAAAAUUUUGGACAAACGAAUGAAAAUACAAAAAAGCACUCCCUAAUAGCUUCCAGAUAAUACCACUCCUAGGUCAUUGUUUUAAUAUGUGAAAUAACAGAGUUUUAAUACAUUUGGAGAAAUUUGCAUAAACUGC